rnacentral:rRNA from 1 species
CAGCAGCCGCCGCGGUAAUACGAAGGGUGCAAGCGUUACUCGGAAUUACUGGGCGUAAAGCGUGCGUAGGUGGUGGUUUAAGUCCGUUGUGAAAGCCCUGGGCUCAACCUGGGAAUUGCAGUGGAUACUGGGUCACUAGAGUGUGGUAGAGGAUAGUGGAAUUUCCGGUGUAGCAGUGAAAUGCGUAGAGAUCGGAAGGAACAUCUGUGGCGAAGGCGACUAUCUGGGCCAACACUGACACUGAGGCACGAAAGCGUGGGGAGCAAACAGGAUUAGAUACCCCAGUAGUCCCUGUCUCUUAUAC